rnacentral:rRNA from 1 species
UGGGGAAUUUUGGACAAUGGGGGCAACCCUGAUCCAGCCAUCCCGCGUGUGCGAUGAAGGCCUUCGGGUUGUAAAGCACUUUUGGCAGGGAAGAAACAGCCUGGGAUAAUACCCCGGGCGACUGACGGUACCUGCAGAAUAAGCACCGGCUAACUACGUGCCAGCAGCCGCGGUAAUACGUAGGGUGCAAGCGUUAAUCGGAAUUACUGGGCGUAAAGCGUGCGCAGGCGGUUCGGAAAGAAAGGUGUGAAAUCCCAGGGCUUAACCUUGGAACUGCACUUUUAACUACCGAGCUAGAGUACGUCAGAGGGGGGUAGAAUUCCACGUGUAGCAGUGAAAUGCGUAGAGAUGUGGAGGAAUACCGAUGGCGAAGGCAGCCCCCUGGGAUGAUACUGACGCUCAUGCACGAAAGCGUGGGGAGCAAACAGGAUUAGAUACCCUGGUAGUCCACGCCCUAAACGAUGUCAACUAGCUGUUGGGGUUUAUUAACCUUAGUAGCGCAGCUAACGCGUGAGGUUGACCGCCUGGGGAGUACGGUCGC